rnacentral:rRNA from 1 species
UGGGGAAUAUUGCACAAUGGGCGCAAGCCUGAUGCAGCCAUGCCGCGUGUGUGAAGAAGGCCUUCGGGUUGUAAAGCACUUUCAGCGAGGAGGAAGGUGGUGAGCUUAAUACGCUCAUCAAUUGACGUUACUCGCAGAAGAAGCACCGGCUAACUCCGUGCCAGCAGCCGCGGUAAUACGGAGGGUGCAAGCGUUAAUCGGAAUUACUGGGCGUAAAGCGCACGCAGGCGGUUUGUUAAGUCAGAUGUGAAAUCCCCCGGGCUCAACCUGGGAACUGCAUUUGAAACUGGCAAGCUAGAGUCUCGUAGAGGGGGGUAGAAUUCCAGGUGUAGCGGUGAAAUGCGUAGAGAUCUGGAGGAAUACCGGUGGCGAAGGCGGCCCCCCUGGACGAAGACUGACGCUCAGGUGCGAAAAGGCGUGGGGGCAGCAAAACAGGAUUAGAUACCCUGGUAGUCCACGCUGUAAAACGAUGUCGAUUUUGGAGGUUGUGCCCUUNAGGCGUGGNUUCCGAGCUAACGNGUUAAAUCGACCGCCNGGGGAGU